rnacentral:lncRNA from 1 species
UUUUUCCAGAGUCUUACACAGAUUUCAAUGUGUUUUUCUUAGGUGGCUGAGCUAUAUGAAGAGCUGAAGAGCAGAGUCUCACAGUUCAACAUGCAUGUGGACCCGAGGCAGCCCAUCUUGGACCCAGAGUACCCGUAUAAGCAGCGCUUUAUCCUGCAGGUCGUAUUGGCAGGUGCUUUUUACCCAAAUUACUUCACCUUUGGACAGCCUGACGAGGAGAUGGCAGUGAGGGAGCUGGCUGGCAAAGACCCCA